AUUGGCCUGUGCUGUUUCCUGAUUAGCUGAAGAGAGAUGGUUACGUUCUUACGUUCUUAAACUGCACUUGGCAAUUUGACAAGUGGGAAGGCAAGCCAGAUAUGGCUGACAGCCCUGUUGCUCUCCUCACUGUGGUCACUGACAACACUACUGGUGCGGUACACUUCAGCCCUGAGAGCGUCUCUGUUGUAGUCGAGGAUGAAAUUGUUGAAGAAGGUACCAGAUAAACCAGGCCAGCACUGAGAGGCUCAGGAAGAGCUUCUACCCUACGGGCACUAAGAUCCUAAAUGAGGUCACUGCCUAAGACUGCCCCCCCACAAUCAUACACAUACUAUAUAUUUAUUACUAUUCCAUAUCUAUUUAAACUCUUUAAUGCACAAAUUGAAGGAAAUGGCGGGAUUACAUUUCCCUGUGAUUGUGCCUUAUAUGAUUACAUGUGACAAAUAAACUUGAUUGAUUGAUUGAAAUAUGACUGGAAACAUUUCUAUCACAUUGUUAAACCACAAACAAGUCCCUUCUUGCAUUCCGUCUCUCUUUUUGUUUUCCUCACAUCCUCACACACACACAUCACACACAUUCAGCAUGUUUCAAAUUGCAUGGUGGCCUAUUUAUUAUUGGAGGGGUACUCCAACUGACAAACAAAUACCUAGAAAUGAAGUCAUCUGGCCAGGACAUGUUUACACAAACACUGCUGAGGGAUUUUAUGGCUGAUGUUUCCCUGUAAGCCUUUACCCGCUCUCCCUAACAGUUCCUCCUUUCCCCUCUAUGUUCCUAAACACACGGUUGAUCAAAACACAGUGCUAGAUGCUAUACUGGACCACAUAAACCACCAUACUCUCAAACAAAUCUCUGUCUGAGAGAGCUUUAGGGUCCAGAUGUCCCCACAGUAUGGAAGGGAAAAGAAGGGAAGGACCACCAGACUUGAUAACGUGCUGAGGUCAGACACGUUAGCUACCCCAUUUACUCCCCCUGUCACCCCCUCUCCAUCCUCCCUGUAACAAGAUCCUAAUAACGAAGCCAGAGUGUAUUAGGAGUCAAGACUCCAACACCACAGGGUCCGCACAGACUAAACAAGUCCAGUUGAUGGUGGAAAGAAUUGUUCUUUGGGAGAAAUGCGUCCAGCGGCCAUGCCAGAAAACAUAAAUAUGGAGUGAGCCACCAGGGCCCCCUUGAAACAUCUGUGGUGUAAUUAAUUGUGCUAUUGCUUGGGUGGCACUGUCGUCACCCAGGAAUAAUCAGCUGCGGAUAUAUUUCUAUUGACUCUGAGACAUGCAAGUCUCUCUCUCGCUCUCUCUCUGAGUCUGCUUCUCCCACUUUAUCUGCCUUUCUUAAUGAAAUCUGACCUAGCCUAAAGAAAUAUUAUUCAUUUGGGACUCUUCUUUUGUGCAUUUGGUGGUUCAAAGUUUGGAACGACUCACUUAUUGACCUGAGCAGAGGGGCUUAACCCUGCAGGAUCAACUUUAACAGUGCUAAUAAGAAAAAAAGGCAGAUCCUAGGGGGUUCAGUUUGAACCUUUUGAAUUAAUUGAUUUGAAUUACAGUCUGCUUAUGUUUGCAGGGGUAAUAUAUCAGAUACAAAUGCUUAUACAUCCCUCCUGUAUCAUGUGGGAUGAAUUCAUGCCCUAUGUGCAUAUUUUCUCCUCUUAAAUGACGAAUGUUUUUAUGUGGUGGUCUUGCACAAACAGAUUAUAGAUUGAUCACUAUCCUAAUGAUUUCUAAUACUGUGAUGCAUAUGGUAAGGAUUAUGACACAAAGACACAGACAUACACACACACAUUUGAAUUAUGAAGUUGCACGCACGCGCAUGUUCCCCACACAUUCCAGUUUUUCAGCAUCA